AUUGAACGCUGGCGGCAGGCCUAACACAUGCAAGUCGAGCGAGCGGCGGACGGGUGCGUAAUGUCUGGGAACCUGCCUGAUGGAGGGGGGUAACUACUGGAAACGGUAGAUAAUACCGUAUACCAUGAGAUGUGCCCAGAUGGGAGUAGCUAGUAGGUGGGGUAACGGCUCACCUAGGCGACGACCCCUAGCUGGUCUGCGAGGAUGACCAGCCACACUGGAACUGAGACACGGGCCAGACUCCGACGAGAGGCAUCAGUGGGGAAUGUUGGACAAGGGGCGCAAGGCUGAAGCGGCCAUGCCGCGUGUGUGAAGAAGGGCUUCGGGUUGUAAAGCACUUUCAGCGGGGAGGCGUUACCCGCAGAAGAAGCACCGGCUAACUCCGUGCCAGCAGCCGCGGUAAUAC
rnacentral:rRNA from 1 species